ACAACAUAUUGCUAGUAUUAAGAGCAUACCCACCUGACCUGAGUUUCGAAAAUAAAGAUUAUUCACUAAAAUGAAGAAAUCUCAAAAUAAAAAUGUUCGAGAAAACAUCGAAAAUUUAAAAAAUUUAGAAUCCUCGAUAAUUUAACGAUAAUACGUUUUUUUCUGUAAAAUUUCGAAACAAACAUGUUCGAGAAAUUAUCUAUUCUUAAAAAUUUCUCGAAGGUUCGUUUUACAAAAAAAAACUUUGCUAAAUAUUCGCCAAUUAUUUGUAAAUGAUACUUUGAUCUUGUUUUUAGCAAAGUAUUUUUUUCUGAUGCUUAGAAACCAAAAAAAAUAUAUUUUGUCUUUGCAAAGUCUCGAAUGUGAUAUUGCGACUGCAUGUUUAACGAAAGAAAAUAAAUGCGGUUUUUAUGAAAAACAAUAAAGAACGGUACUUUUUUGUGCAAACAAAAGCACAAAACAGAAAUAUAUUAGUUUUAAAUCGGAGUUCAUUGUAAACGGAUGGAAUUUAAAUAUUAUUAGAAAAGUGAAUAAAUAUAAACAAAUAUAAAGUGAAAAUUAAUUAAAUGGUAAGAAAACAAAGUGUUAUCUUACACAGUUCCACCGAGUACAAACAACAAUAGCAACGGAAGACAAUCAUGCACAAUAUCACCAACGAAUAAUUGUAAUAACAUCCAAAGAUUAUCAUGUACCGUGUCACCGACGACCAACUAUAAUAACACCCAAAGAUUAUCAUGCACAGUGUCACCGACGUCCAAAAACAGGCCACCGACGACCAAUAACAAUAGCAGUCAAUUAACAGAAAUAUUAAAUGUUUUGCGCAAAUUAGAAGGACAUAUCACAGUAUUAAAUUCGAAAGUUGACCGCCUCACUGUUGAGAUUAUUUCCAUAAGAAGUGAGGUUUCGACAAUUAAAACAAAAGUAUAUGGGGAUGUAUGCUAUAGUGAGUUUGUUGUUCCACAGAGACCCUUCGAGACUAUCCAACAGUACAACGAAUUUACCAGCAAGUUGGAAAACGAAGAGACUUUUAAACAAUUUGUUAAAGAACUUUCCUUUUCGUCAGAAAAAUCUUUUGAUAAAUAUAUUCGUAGCUGCUGGAAAAAGAUGUUUUCCGACAACCUUGCGGAGCAGUUUUCGUGGAGAGGAACUAACACUAAGCAAUGCAUUCGUGGAUGUCGUAUAACUUUGGCUAUUCGACAAUAAAGACGAGGAUUUUGAUAAAAUAACACAGAAGCAUUUCCAAUACGCCCACGAUAGGCUAACGAAAUGUUCCAAUUACGUUUCCAAAAAAAAACAAAACAUGACAAUGAGCAGCUACCACCUUAAUAGUUUACUAUUUAUAAACAAAUUUUAUUAAACUAACAUUAUUUUUCAAUGAAUUUAUGUA